rnacentral:sRNA from 1 species
AUGGCUGUCGUCAGCUCGUGUCGUGAGAUGUUGGGUUAAGUCCCGCAACGAGCGCAGCCCCUAUCCUAUGUUGCCAGCGCGUAAUGGCGGGGACUCGUAGGAGACUGCCGGUGCCAAACCGGAGGAAGGUGGGGACGAAGUCAAGUCAUCAUGCCCCUUACGUCCAGGGCUGCACACGUGCUACAAUGGCCGGUACAAAGGGCUGCAAACUCGCGAGAGUGAGCCAAUCCCAAAAAGCCGGUCUCAGUUCGGAUCGCAGUCUGCAACUCGACUGCGUGAAGUCGGAGUCGCUAGUAAUCGCAGAUCAGCAUUGCUGCGGUGAAUACGUUCCCGGGCCUUGUACACACCGCCCGUCACACCACGAAAGUCGGCAACACCCGAAGCCGGUGGCCCAACCCUUUUGGGAGGGAGCCGUCGAAGGUGGGGUUGGCGAUUGGGGUGAAGUCGUAACAAGGUAGCCGUACCGGAAGGUGCGGCUGGAUCACCUCCUUUCUAAGGAACCAACUGUCCGUGUCCUUGCCAAAUUCGGUGGGGAUCACACACGGAGAGUUCCUACGUCGAUCACUGGUUAAUCGACCAGCGGAAUUCGUCUCGACCCUCGGUCGCCCACCGCAUCCCCAAGGAAAUUUCCACGGGGGAGCGGUCACCGGCCGGGCACCACCGAGCGACCCGUGUGGUCGGGCUUCACUGCUCUGUUGUGAGGGAGCGCUUCCGCGCGCCGGCCUUUUCGGUCGGCGCGUCUUGGCGUCCCUCCGGGAAAUGCGUGUGAUCUCCCGCAUCACCGUCGAGCUCAGCUCCGGUGGAUGCCGCGGUGGUCGGUAGCGCUUCCCGACGCCGUCAUGCUCACCAGAGCGCGGCGUACCCCGUCCCUUGAGAACUGCAUAGCGAGCACGAGCAUCUUUUUUGAAAAUCUCAAGCUAUGAAGAGCCAACGGUGGAUGCCUUGGCGCCAGAUGCCGAUGAAGGACGUGGGUGGCUGCGAUAAGCCACGGGGAGCUGUCGACCGAGCUUUGAUCCGUGGAUCUCCGAAUGGGGAAACCCGG